rnacentral:rRNA from 1 species
AACGAACGCUGGCGGCAUGCCUAACACAUGCAAGUCGAACGAGACCUUCGGGUCUAGUGGCGCACGGGUGCGUAACGCGUGGGAACCUGCCCUUAGGUUCGGAAUAACUCCCCGAAAGGGGUGCUAAUACCGGAUAAUGUCUUCGGACCAAAGAUUUAUCGCCUUUGGAUGGGCCCGCGUUGGAUUAGCUAGUUGGUAGGGUAAAAGCCUACCAAGGCGACGAUCCAUAGCUGGUAUGAGAGGAUGAUCAGCCACACUGGGACUGAGACACGGCCCAGACUCCUACGGGAGGCAGCAGUGGGGGAUAUUGGACAAUGGGCGAAAGCCUGAUCCAGCAAUGCCGCGUGAGUGAUGAAGGCCUUAGGGUUGUAAAGCUCUUUUACCCGGGAUGAUAAUGACAGUACCGGGAGAAUAAGCUCCGGCUAACUCCGUG